AAAAUUCGAUCUGCUUCGAACGGCUGCCGAACUGUAAAGAAAUAUUUUGUAGGAAGGCUUUUAACACGAACACCAAAAAAGACAUCACUACACGGACUGACUUAUUAAGCCUGAAAAUAUGGUCUCCCAAUAUAGUAUUAAUAAAUUGGCCACCUGCUAGGGGGCUCUACACGUUCAGAAUCACAUUUAUUUUAUAAAAAGCGAAUGUAGUGAUCUGGAUUGAAAAUCAAAAAAAAUAUACAAGUAAAAAGCUAAUCGUACUCAAGCUCAAAUCACUGUUUUAAAAAAUUACGCUAUUCAAAUGGAUUUGAUAACAAUAUCUGAAAAACUCGGCAAUGCUGUAAUUAUAUUGUAUUCGAUUAAUGAAGUAACUGCGUGUAACGCAGCAAAGAUGGUUGCGUGAGUGAAAAUAUGGUGUUUUACAAUACUACCCGGUGUUUGACAACGUGGAUUUGCAAAUCGAAUGGCUGACACUUGACUUCCUUUUCCGAACCAGCGGCGCUUGCGCAAAGACUCGUCCCGAAGAGAGCUUGCGAUAAUAUCUGAAAAACAUGGAAUAUCAAGGUUUUAACCCAAAAGGAAUCUAUUACAUUCAGCUUAAUCCGAACGGAUUGGUGUCCGCGAAUGGGAAUGCACAAUACCAGCCAUCCGGAGCCGGUAAUCCGCAACCGGUGUAUGGCAAUUCGAACUCUCCAUCACUCCCCCCUUGCCCGUAUCCAGGGCACAGCGCUUCGUACUCUCCACCAAGUCCCCGUCAACCGCAGCCGGGGUAUACCAAUUCGUAUUUGCCACCAAGCAACCAGUCGAACACCAUAGCGAAUACCGCACCGAAUACCGCACCGAGUUAUCAGCUGUACUAUUUAUCAAACUCCACGCCGAGUUCCACGCCAAACUCCGUACAAAACUCUCUAUCGGAACAUGAACUCUACAAUUCUUCGAACUUCACGGCGAAUCGCUCCGUCCCACCAUAUCCGUACUCUGCAGACCUACGUAACAUCGUAGUUUUUGGGAACACGCAGGGCUUCUACCACCGCGGCUGUUGGUACAACUGUGGGUUGUAUCUGCCCACGUCCAUUGCUUCUCAGCAGGACCAGGUCCAGGUCCCUCAACAGUCACAGUCCUAUGUGGCUGCCAUGCAACCGCAGCAUCCUACGCAGCAGGCACCCCUAUUGUCAACACCCCAAGUAAAUCAACAAGCGCGGUUUCCUUACGCAGGAACACCUAGAUUUGCCGAGCAAGACCAGAUAUAUGAGUUAAGGGAGCAAGUACCUCCACUGCCAGCCGCAGCCAACCAACGAGCGCAGGUUUUUCCGAUUGGGAAUCACAUACCGCCGCCACAUCCUCAACCCAGGGCACAGGAUCCACCACUAACGGGUGUCUACAUGGUUACAGGACAAGCACCUCUUCAGCCAGGAACCUCCUACCACUAUCAGGAACCUCCGCAGCCCCAGCAUGUUCCGCCGCCCGAGCAGGUUCCUCUGAUCCAUGGAUAUGCGUACGCACCAACUGCUGCACCGAAUGUCCAAGCUGAAGUCCUGGCAACUCCACAUCUGGGAUAUAAGCAACCUCUACAAUAUCAGCAUGUUCCGCCUGCGUCGCCACCCCAGCAUAUUCAACCAGCGCAGCAUUUUCCACCAACUCAGCAUAUUCCACCGCCCCAGCAGGUGCCUCCCACCCAUGUUUCGUCCUAUGCACCAACAUCUCCACCAAAGGCCCAAGCCGAAGUUUUGUCAACUCCACACGUGGUGGAGAUCGUCUUGGGACCCUCAGUUGCGGUCACCAAAACGGAAGACAAAAUAAUAAUUGACUUGCGACCACGGUGUCCUCGAGGUCCAGUGCCAGAGCAUCAAAAUCCUGUGAAGGAAUCGCAACAGAUUAUUGAAGUAAUUCAAGAUAAUCCACAUGUCAACAGUUUUGCACAUCCGCCGUCAGGACCAAGGCAUCCAAUACCUUCAUGGAAUAAAUCAAACUAUGUAACUCGUAAUAUUCCAGUGGAUGCAGCAGUGCGGGUGCCGAUGGUACACCGCAUACCACCUACAAUUAUUUAUCAUACUGACAUGGUUCAAGAUGAGGAAAGCGCUCCCGUAACUGGAGCUGCGAAUUUGGUUCCUAACCCGGAUUUCAGUUGUCCUGCUCAGGCUGUCGAUAUGACGGUGAUCCAGCCAGUAAAUAAUUCAAGCCAAGUUCCCAACUUGGUCAUGGUAGAAAAUGAAAAUGUAGGACACAUACAGCCUAAGAUAAGUCACCAUCUCAAUAUGAUUCAGGAACCGGAAACCGUUUUAUCAGCUAUAGAUUACAACCGCAAUUAUAAUUCUUCCGCUAGGGCUGUCGAUAUGACGGUGAUCCAGCCUGAAAAUAAUUUAAUCCAGGCUCCCAACUUGAUCGUGGUAGAACAGGAAAUUGUGGAACGCAUACAACCUGAGAUUGUUAAUCAUCCUCUUAUGGUUCAGGAUCCCAGUUCGACCAUACUACCGAAUACCGUCCCACCAACUAAAGCUUCUGAUUUCGUUUCUAACCCGUAUCAGAAUUCUCCUGUUAAGGCUGUCGGUUCAGUGGUGAUCCAGGAAGAAAAUAACAUAAUCGUGAUAAAGCCGGAAAUUGUAGAACGUAUACAAUCUGCUAUUCAACAACAACCAAAUAUUGAAGUUCAGGAUCCCAAAUCGACCCUACAACCGAUAACCGUCCUACCAACUAAAGCCUCUGAUUUGGUUCCUAACCCGGAAACCGUUUUAUCAGCUAUAGAUUACAACCGCGAUUAUAAUUCUUCUGCUGGGGCUGUCGAUAUGACGGUGAUCCAGCCUGAAAAUAAUUUAAUCCAGGCUCCCAACUUGAUCAUGGUAGAACAGGAAAUUGUGGAACGCAUACAACCUGAGAUUGUUAAUCAUCCUCUUAUGGUUCAGGAUCCCAGUUUGACCAUACUACCGAAUACCGUCCCACCAACUAAAGCUUCUGAUUUGGUUUCUAACCCGUAUCAGAAUCCUCCUGUUAAGGCUGUCGGUUCAGUGGUGAUCCAGGAAGGCUCCAACAUAAUCGUGAUAAAGCCGGAAAUUGUAGAUCGUAUACAAUCUGCUAUCCAACCAAAUAUUGAAGUUCAGGAUCCCAAAUCGACCCUACAACCGAUAACCGUCCUACCAACUAAAGCCUCUGAUUUGGUUCCUAACCCAAGGAAUCUAGUCACUUCUUCAAAUAAAUCAGAUUAUGGAACUCAGAAUAUUCCAAUGGAUGCAGCAGUGCAAAUGCCACUUGUAGACUGCAUAAUACCUCAAAUUAUUUGUCACACCAUUUUGACCAUAGAACCGGACACCGAUCUACCAACUAAAGCUUCUGAUUUGGUUCCUAAGCCGGAUCAUAAUUCUUCUGCUAAGGCUAUUGAUUUGACGGAAGAAAGUUCUUCAAAUCAGGUUCCUAACUCGAUUGUGGUACAACAGGAAACCGGAAACCAAGAAUCUCACAAUUCAACCUUAAAGGAAGAGGAAAAGAAGUCUGAUCUUGACAUUUCUAAAAAAGAUAUCGCCCAAAAACAAGCUCCCGAAUCGGAGAAGCAAUCUGGAGCCACUUUAUUACCACAGCAGAACUUGAAACUCGAAUCCCAUGCCAUUGCGGACAUUAGGAAAGGAAUGGAUCAGUUGCAACUCCCUGAUCCACUGCCCGAUCUGCUGCCAGAGGCACCCUUGACAACUUAUAUUCCUGAGCCAACUAAACAGGAACCCAUCACUAGUUCACAAAUUACCAAUCCACUAAAGGAGAAGAACUCACAGCCAGCGUCUCUCAAAGAAAACAUUAUAACAAAUAUACAGCAACCUGUGAACAAAUCCGAGCAAAUCUACCCAACGCCAGAAGAAAACCCAGCGUCUCUCGAAGAGAACAUUAUAACAAAUAUACAGCAACCUGUGAACAAAUCCGAGCAAAUCUACCCAACGCCAGAAGAACACGUUCCUAAAAUUCCACAAGAACCAGAGGUCAACGCGAAUCAGUGGCCACCUUUGGGCAGUCGUUCACGAUCCAAAGCAGCGCCAAAGAAGGAACCUAUUUCACCGGAAAACACAUUACAACAGUCAGGAUCGGUAAAUUCAUCAAGGUACACGUGCAGGUUGCUUGAAACUCGGAACACCAAUAAAUCCAUGGAACGCAGAGUACCCCCAGCAGUCGAGUCCAAGCGCAAUCUGUCCAAAUAUAAAAGGGAUUUGGUUAUGCAACCAAAGGUUACCGGCCAAAAUGACCAACAAGGUGUAAAGGAAGCCCAUGUUAAGCCCAAAGGAACCGAAACACCUAAUCAGUCGCUCAAGGUUAUAAAAACGAAGAAGGAUUUGAUUUCUCAACCCAUAGGACUCGAUCCACAAGGCAACAAGGAAAAUCAGCCACAGGCAAUAGUAGUUAAACCCGAAACACCCCCACUCAAUGGACUGAAAAACAAUAGUGAUAUAAUUUCCCAACCUAAGGCGAUCAUACGAGAUGUACAGCAAGCUAAAUGCGAAAACCUGUCAAAAGUAACCAAAGUACCUGUACCGGAUACAAAAUCACUCAAUGUACUGAAGAAAGAAAAGGAUAUGAUUGCUCAACCAAAGGUUGUCCUACGUGAUGAUAGGCAGUGCAAAAAAGAAAACCCUUCAAAGCGCACAUUAACUGAAAUGGAAGUUAAAUCGCCGAUUGCUCCUCAAUCAGAGUCUGCAGCAAACGUAAAAAGCUCUUCGCAAGUUAAAAAACCUUUGGACAAUAAAUCAUCGGAAGUAAAAUUGCCACCCAAGAAAAAACUAAUGAUAAAUUCACCACCAAAGACUAACGACAAACCCAAGGAUUCUGUAACAGAUUCAAAAGGCUCUACGCAAGUUAAGAACCCUGUGAGCACCUCGCAGCAAAAGCCUUUGGAAAAAAUCAUUAUGAAUUCACCAUCAACUCAUCACAAACCCAAGGAACCCGUAACAGAUUCAAAAAGCUCUACGCAAGUUAAAAAACCCUUAAAAGCAUCACAGGAUAAUAAGGAUAGUAAGCCCUUGGAAAUAAAGUCUCCCGCAACAAAAAAACCCAUGCUGGAUUCACCACCCAACAUUCAGCACAAACCCAAGGAGCCAGCCUCAACAGAUUCAAUGCGUACAUCCAACAUGUUCGAGCUCCUGGAGGUCGACGAUGAGGAGGUUGGCCAAUUGGAGGAGCCCGAAAUCAAAGCCGAUCCCCAGAGGUCGGGCAAUUUAAAAAGGAAGGAGAAGAGGCGUCUUAAAAAGCAAGAAACAGCUAAAAAGAAUCAAAUACGGUCUAAUAAGAUGGCUGCCAAAAAGGCGGCAAUAGCUGAAAAGGAAAAGUCUGAAGUGGUAAAGCCAAUGCCAAGCAGUGAGUCAUUUGUAGAAAGCCUUCCCGAAAGUACAACGAAACUGAAAAGAAUCGAGAAAAACGAGCUGGGCCUGUGGCGGCUAACCGAUAUCACCAAAAAGUAUUCAAUGCCAGAAUCACCCACUGCAAAAGAUGUUACGGGAAGUAAACCCAUUGAGCCCCGGCCACCACCAGGUGCUCCUGUGCCCCAGCCUGCGCCGCGUCCUCCAGGUCCGCCACCGGCUUCUCCUCGACCAGCACCUGCUGGCAGUUCGGUGCCAGUGAUUGCCAACAACCAAACAUUUAAAUCGGCCACCAACAGAAAGAACGCUACGUUAAGUAGGUUCAUGAAUGCCAUAAGUCUAGCCGCCUUGAAAAAAUCCAAAGUACCUGAGAAUAAAGCAUCAGCCGAUGGGUCUAAGCCUACGACUGCGAAGGACAGCACUCCAACACUACGUUUACGACCACAGAUGCUAACUAAGGAGGAAGUAAAACCAUGUCAGUGCACAUUGUCAGUUGAAACAGCACAAAAAACUUUAAAGGACUCAGAUCUAAAUCCAUUUAGAAUAUUAGAAUCGUUCGGAUUCCCAAAAAGCCAAGAUGUUGCAACAGCUAAAAGUCAACUAUCUGAUUCUGGAGCUCAAGAAAGUAAUUUGAACAAAUCAAGCGAGGUCAAGUCGUCGGUUGAAGCAGCACCAGAAGCCUCGAAGAAGGUUGAUCUCAAUCCAUUUAGAAGUGUGGCACCCGUUUUAAGCCAAUUACUGGAUUCUGGAGCACAAGAAAGUAGAUUGUUACAGCCAAAUAUCAACCAAAAAAUCAAUCAACUUUUUCUUCUUCCCCAAAGGAUUCCCGGCCUUGAGAAACCCGUUCCUGAAACUUAUGAUUUGCAAAAGCCUCCUGAACUUAAAGAUACCCGAUCCAUGAUUCGGAAACAGAGUAGACAAAAGGAUAAACUUGACAGGAGAUACUGGCCAUUCAUAACUGCGACGGAGCUGAAGGAAAAUCGUAUCCGGUUUUGAAUCGAAUUUUCGAUCUUUCUCCAGUAAUACUAAAUGGCAAAGCCUGAUAUUGGAAACUGGAACUUGGAAUUCUUCUUUCAGCCGAAACCUGUGAAUUUCCACAACUAGGAUUGGAUCUUUCAGAUCUUCCUGAUCUCUACCAGCUUCAUCCAAGACGAAUGCCGAUUUCUAUGGUCCUCGGGCUCGGGACUUAGCCACAGUUUGGACUAAUUAAGUGUCGAAAGGAUUACCAACGCCUACCCCCAGGGUGUGUUGUGAUUUACGAUACCUGUGUGCUGUGCUACCUGUCGGCAGAUCCUCAUUAGCAUGAGCCGACGGACGAGGAUGCACCGGAGGAGGUGGCAUCUAAUGCGCCUGAGUCCCGGUGAGCGCGUGUGCCAUUCAUUGAGUCGCCUCCAUUCACCUGCAUUCACCUCCAUUCACAUAUAGUGAGAACUUGCACCAAUAUCAUAAUGGACUUUCCCCGAGACUUGGUCUGGAUUUUCAGCUGUGACCGCAGGACAAGGACCUUGGAUCUGGCCACUUGCCGUAACCUUUACACCUGCCUUUGACCCAGUGUGCCUGAUGAUGUGCGGUUUGGCAGCCCAAAUAACAUGUUAUGUGCGGCAUAAUUGGACCGAAAAAAUUAAGGAUGAGUCGAAAAGUCAAGGGCAGCAGCAGGAACUUCAAGGACCCGAAGCAACUGAAGGACAUUGCCCCG